rnacentral:hammerhead_ribozyme from 1 species
AUCCAGCUGACGAGUCCCAAAUAAGAUGAAGUGGUGUGCGUCCUGGAU